UCUUCUGGACAUGUUCAAGGUGCCAUCCGGAUAGAGUCCGGAUGGAUAAUUGGGAAACCGGUCAUAGGCCUGUGCUGCCCCCGCAACGGUAGCGGACCGAAAGUCUCGACCAAUGCCACUGGUCUCUUGACCGGGAAGGUGUCGAGGCCAUCCAGAGGGAUAGGUCCGAAGCCCGGAAACCAGCCUUGACGACAGACUCGAU
rnacentral:ncRNA from 2 species